AUGAAAUGUGUGAAGUCAACUAGAAUUGUUCUGAAUGAACUUAGAGAAAAUGAAUGGGAAUCUAUGCUAGGUGAAGUUCAUGUGUUUUGUGAGACGCAUGAUAUUGUAGAGUUGGACAUGGAAGAAGCAUAUGUUAAUCCAAAAAAGAGAAGGCGGGUAACUAGAAUUACAAACAAACAUCACUAUCAAGUUUGUUUCAAUGAUUUUUUUGGUUGGCUAGUUCAAGAGCUUGACAAUCGGUUCAGUGAGACAUCCGCUAAUUUGCUUGUUUGGUUAGCGGCUUUGAGUCCAAGAGACUCAUUUCGUGAUUUCAAUUUGGAGAAUCUUAUGAGCUUGGCUAAACUAUACCCUCAAGAUUUUGAUUCUGGGGAACUGAGGGAUCUGGAUAAGGAUCUACGCCUCUAUAUUGCUGAUGUACGCACAGAUGAUAGUUUUUCCAACAUAGCAACAAUCACUGAGCUUUCAAAAAAAUGGCGCAGACAGGGAGGCACAUUGUGUAUCCUUUGUUUUAUCGGUUGUUGA
rnacentral:rRNA from 1 species